AAGUAACUGAAGAAUCACAAAAGUGAAAAGGACCUGCCCCGCCUUAACUGAUGACAUUCCACCAUUGUGAUUUGUUCCUGCCCCACCUUAACUGAGUGAUUAACCCUGUGAAUUUCCUUCUCCUGGCUCAGAAGCUCCCCCACUGAGCACCUUGUGACCCCCGCCCCUGCCCACCAGAGAACAACCCCCUUUGACUACGCGCAUGAAAUUUGGUGCUGUGACUCGGAUCGGGGGACCUCCCUUGGGAGAUCAAUCCCCUGUCCUCCUGUUCUUUGCUCCGUGAGAAAGAUCCACCUACGACUCAGGUCCUCAGACCGACCAGCCCAAGGAACAUCUCACCAAUUUUAAAUCAGGAGCUUGCUACACGUGCCGGAAAUCUGGCCACUGGGCCAAGGAAUGCCCGCAGCCCCGGAUUCCUCCUAAGCCGCGUCCCAUCUGUGUGGGACCCCACUGAAAAUCGGACUGUUCAACUCACCUGGCAGCCACUCCCAGAGCCCCUGGAACUCUGGCCCAAGGCUCUCUGACUGACUCCUUCCCAGAUCUUCUCGGCUUAGCGGCUGAAGACUGACACUGCCCGAUCACCUUGGAAGCCCCCUAGACCAUCAAGGACGCCAAGCUUCAGGUAACUCUCACAGUGGAAGGUAAGCCCGUCCCCUUCUUAAUCAAUACGGAGGCUACCCACUCCACAUUACCUUCUUUUCAAGGGCCUGUUUCCCUUGCCUCCAUAACUGUUGUGGGUAUUGAAGGCCAGGCUUCUAAACCUCUUAAAACUCCCCAACUCUGGUGCCAACUUAGACAAUACUCUUUUAAGCACUCCUUUUCAGUUAUCCCCACCUGCCCAGUUCCCUUAUUAGGCUGAGACACUUUAACUAAAUUAUCUGCUUCCCUGACUAUUCCUGGACUACAGCUAUAUCUCAUUGCCGCCCUUCUUCCCAAUCCAAAGCCUCCUUUGCGUCCUCCUCUUGUAUCCCCCCACCUUAACCCACAAAUAUGAGAUACCUCUACUCCCUCCUUGGCGACCGAUCAUGCACCCCUUACCAUCUCAUUAAAACCUAAUCACCCUUACCCCACUCAACGCCAAGAUCCCAUCCCACGACACGCUUUAAAAAGAUUAAAGCCUGUUAUCACUCACCUGCUACAGCAUGGCCUUUUAAAGCCUAUAAACUCUCCUUACAAUUCCCCCAUUUUACCUGUCCUAAAACCAGACAAGCCUUACGAGUUAGUUCAGGAUCUGCGCCUUGUCAACCAAAUUAUUUUGCCUAUCCACCCCAUGGUGCCAAACCCAUAUACUCUCCUAUCCUCAAUACCUGCCUCUACAACCCAUUAUUCUGUUCUAGAUCUCAAACAUGCAUUCUUUACUAUUCCUUUGCACCCUUAAUCCCAGCCUCUCUUCGCUUUCACUUGGACUGACCCUGACACCCAUCAAGCUCAGCAAAUUACCUAGGCUGUACUGCCGCAAAGCUUCACAGGCAGCUCCCAUUACUUCAAUCAAGCCCAAAUUUCUUCCUCAUCUGUUACCUAUCUUGGCAUAAUUCUCAUAAAAACACACGUGCUCUCCCUGCCAAUCGUGGCCAACUGAUCUCUCAAACCCCAGCACCUUCUACAAAACAACAACUCCUUUCCUUCCUAGGCAUGGUUAGUGCGGUCAGAAUUCUUACACAAGAGCCAGGACCGCACCCUGUAGCCUUUCUGUCCAAACAACUUGACCUUACUGUUUUAGCCUAGCCCUCAUGUCUGCGUGCAGCGGCUGCCGCUGCUUUGGUACUGUUAGAGGCCCUAAAAAUCACAAACUAUGCUCAACUCACUCUCUACAUUUCUCAUAACUUCCAAAAUCUAUUUUCUUCCUCAUACCUGACACAUAUACUUUCUGCUCCCCGGCUCCUUCAGCUGUAUUCACUCUUUAAGUCCCACAAUUACCCUUGUUCCUGGCCAGGACUUCAAUCUGGCCUCUCACAUUAUUCCUGAUACCACACCUGACCCCCAUGACUGUAUCUCUCUGAUCCACCUGAUAUUCACCCCAUUUCCCCAUAUUUCCUUCUUUCCUGUUCCUCACCCUGAUCACGCUUGAUUUAUUGAUGGCGGUUCCACCAGGCCUAAUCGCCACACACCAGCAACGGCAGGUUAUGCUAUAGUACAAGCCACUAGCCCGCCUCUCAGAACCUCUCAUUUCCUUUCCAUCGUGGAAAUCUAUCCUCAAGGAAAUAACUUCUCAGUGUUCCAUCUGCUAUUCUACUACUCCUCAGGGAUUAUUCAGGCCCCCUCCCUUCCCUACACAUCAAGCUCGAGGAUUUGCCCCCACCCAGGACUGGCAAAUUAGCUUUACUCAACAUGCCCGAGUCAGGAAACUAAAAUACCUCUUAGUCUAAAUAGACACUUUCACUGAAUAAGUAAAGGCCUUUCCUACAGGGUCUGAGAAGGCCACCGCAGUCAUUUCUUCCCUUCUGUCAGACAUAAUUCCUCAGUUUAGCCUUCCCACCUCUAUACAGUCUGAUAACAGACCAGCCUUCAUUAGUCAAAUCAGCCAAGCAGUUUUUCAGGCUCUUAGUAUUCAGUGAAACCUUUAUAUCCCUUACGGUCCUCCGUCUUCAAGAAAAGUAGAACGGACUAAAGGUCUUUUAAAAACACACCUCACCAAGCUCAGCCACCAACUUAAAAAGGACUGAACAAUACUUUUACCACUUUCACUUCUCAGAAUUCAGGCCUGUCCUCAGAAUGUUACAAGGUACAGCCCAUUUAAGCUCUUUAAAAAGCAUCUUUAAAAAGAUGCUCAUUUUUAUUAGCCCCCAGUCUCAUUCGACACCAGACCAACUUAGACUGUGCCCCCAAAAAACUUGUCAUCCCUACUAUCUUUUGUCUAGUCAUACAUACUCCUAUUCACCUUUCUCAACUACUCAUACAUGCCCUGCUCUUGUUUACACUGCCAGUUUACACUGUUUCUCCAAGCCAUCACAGCUGAUAUCUCCUGGUGCUAUCCCCAAACUGCCACUCUAAACUCUUGAAGUAAAUAAAUAAUCUUUGCUGGCAGGACUAUGCCGAAUCUCCUUAGGCACUCUAAUCAGAUGUCCUAGGUCCUCCCAAUUCUUAGACCUUUUAUACCUGUUUCUCUCCUUCUCUUAUUCCAUUUUUCAAUUCAUACAAAACCGUAUCCAGGCCAUCACCAAUCAUUCUAUACGACAAAUGUUUCUUCUAACAACCCCACAAUAUCACCCCUUACCACAAGAUCUUCCAUUCAGCUUAAUCUCUCCCACUCUAGGUUCCCACGCCGCCCCUAAUCCCGCUUGAAGCAGCCCUGAGAAACAUCGCCCAUUCUCUCUCCAUACCACCCCCAAAAAUUUUUGCCGCCCCAACACUUCAACACUAUUUUGUUUUAUUUUUCUUAUUAAUAUAAGAAGGCAGGAAUGUCAGGCCUCUGAGCCCAAGCCAAGCCAUCGCAUCCCGUGACUUGCAUGUAUACGCCCAGAUGGCCUGAAGUAACUGAAGAAUCACAAAAGAAGUGAAAAGGCCCUGCCCCGCCUUAACUGAUGACAUUCCACCAUUGUGAUUUGUUCCUGCCCCACCUUAACUGAGUGAUUAACCCUGUGAAUUUCCUUCUCCUGGCUCAGAAGCUCCCCCACUGAGCACCUUGUGACCCCCCGCCCCUGCCCACCAGAGAACAACCCCCUUUGACUGUAAUUUUCCAUUACCUUCCCAAAUCCUAUAAAACGGCCCCACCCUUAUCUCCCUUCGCUGACUCUCUUUUCGGACUCAGCCCACCUGCACCCAGGUGAAAUAAACAGCUUUAUUGCUCACACAAA
rnacentral:lncRNA from 10 species